CUUUUGCGUUAACGAUGGAAGCGGCAUCCUUUUUGGCUUUUUCUGCCAAAAAGAUACAGCGGACAGCGUGUUAAAAC
rnacentral:sRNA from 1 species